GGUAGUAUGGCCGAAAUAGGUGGUAAAUUGUAAAUUUACUUAUAAGGGUUAAACCCUUUGCUGCC
rnacentral:tRNA from 1 species